CGCCUGCUUUCUUGACUUGUUGGUCCCAUUUGUUGGGCUGAAAAGCUGCACUUCGCCCAAUUCGGGCUUAAUAGAUGGGUUUUUAUGGUGGAGAAAGCUUUUUCUUUUAUGCAGGGCCUUCCUAGUAGGAACGACAACGGUUCCCUCGUAAUGGUACCGGCUAUGCUACUAAGCUGCUGACAGGGUUGAUUGAGGGGGCGGCUUGGUUGCUGAGGGGAAACGUCCUGUUUUCAUUGUUCCUCUAACUGACGAUGUAGGUUUUGGGGUUCUUUUUUGUUGCGGACAAUAAUUUACACAACUGCGCAGUUCCCUGUUGCUCCAGGUGCUAGCUCUGAUCCUUGCAUAGAGAGAGUUUGCGGCUUUCGUAUGAUACGAGCUCUGUUUCAUAUGGCGCACACGUGGAUAAAGGGGGCCAGUGUGCAGCUUGUUCAUUAUUCUAUGUCAGCCCUGCAGGAGUAUGGAUGGUCCUGUCACUUCAUAUCGUAUAGUUCAUAACAUGGCUCGGAGGAGAGGGGGGAUGCGUCGCCCCAGCAUUUUAACAGGC
rnacentral:sRNA from 1 species